GAAUCAUCCAAUUCCGUUCUCUUCGCUAAUUUAUUUUUCAAAAUUCUUCAACAACAAUGCCGAGCCGAUACCCCGGAGCCCUAGCUCAAGAUUGGGAGCCAGUGGUUCUCCACAAGGCGAAGCCAAAGGCUCAGACCCUUCGCGAUCCGAAGGCAGUGAACCAAGCGAUCCGGUCCGGCGCAGCGGUGCAGACAGUGAAGAAAUUCGACGCCGGUUCGAACAAGAAAGCCGCAGCGGCGCCAGUGAACGCGAGGAAGCUGGACGAAGGGACUGAACCGGCGGCGCUGGACCGCGUGGCGGCGGAGGUGAGACUGACGAUUCAGAAGGCUCGAGUGGAGAAGAAGAUGAGCCAAGCGGAAUUGGCGAAACAGAUAAACGAGCGGACUCAGGUUGUGCAAGAAUACGAAAAUGGGAAGGCGGUGCCGAAUCAGGCGGUUUUGUCGAAGAUGGAGAAGGUUUUGGGCGUGAAGCUUCGAGGCAGAUCGGGGAAGUGAGAUUCGAAUUCAAAACCGUUUUCCGACCUCGCGUUUUGAUGUAAUUAGUGUUUGGAAAUGAGGACUGUUGAUUUGUAAAAGGUGUAAGGUAUCUUCGUGGUUUAAGAAAUGAGAUUUGACUUCGAAACCGCUGUCUGAACUAGCGUUUUGAUGUAAUUUGAUU
rnacentral:misc_RNA from 1 species